rnacentral:rRNA from 1 species
GCCCUUAACUCUGGGAUAAGCCUGGGAAACUGGGUCUAAUACCGGAUAGGAGCGUCCACCGCAUGGUGGGUGUUGGAAAGAUUUAUCGGUUUUGGAUGGACUCGCGGCCUAUCAGCUUGUUGGUGAGGUAAUGGCUCACCAAGGCGACGACGGGUAGCCGGCCUGAGAGGGUGACCGGCCACACUGGGACUGAGACACGGCCCAGACUCCUACGGGAGGCAGCAGUGGGGGAAUAUUGCACAAU